AACGAACGCUGGCGGCAGGCCUAACACAUGCAAGUCGAGCGCGCCCUUCGGGGUGAGCGGCGGACGGGUGAGUAACGCGUGGGAACGUGCCCUUCUCUGCGGAAUAGCCUCGGGAAACUGAGAGUAAUACCGCAUACGCCCUUUGGGGGAAAGAUUUAUCGGAGAAGGAUCGGCCCGCGUUGGAUUAGGUAGUUGGUGGGGUAAUGGCCCACCAAGCCGACGAUCCAUAGCUGGUUUGAGAGGAUGAUCAGCCACACUGGGACUGAGACACGGCCCAGCUUCCUCCGGGCGGCAGCCGUGGGGGCUCUUGGCCCCUGGGGGCCACCCUGAUCUAGCCAUGCCGCGUGAGUGAUGAAGGCCUUAGGGUUGUCAAGCUCUUUCCGCUGGGCCGAUAAUGACGGUACCCGCCGCAGAAGCCCCGGCUCCCUCCGUG
rnacentral:rRNA from 1 species